UAAUAAUAUGUCAGAAUAAUGAUAUGAAUUUAAAAUUCAUAAAUAAGAA
rnacentral:tRNA from 1 species